GCAGUCGACGAACUCUGGUAUUGAUUGGUGCUUGCAUCAUGAUUUACAUUUGAGUGAGUGGCGAACUGGUGAGUAACACGUGGGAAACCUGCCCAGAAGCGGGGGAUAACACCUGGAAACAGAUGCUAAUACCGCAUAACAACUUGGACCGCAUGGUCCGAGUUUGAAAGAUGGCUUCGGCUAUCACUUUUGGAUGGUCCCGCGGCGUAUUAGCUAGAUGGUGGGGUAACGGCUCACCAUGGCAAUGAUACGUAGCCGACCUGAGAGGGUAAUCGGCCACAUUGGGACUGAGACACGGCCCAAACUCCUACGGGAGGCAGCAGUAGGGAAUCUUCCACAAUGGACGAAAGUCUGAUGGAGCAACGCCGCGUGAGUGAAGAAGGGUUUCGGCUCGUAAAACUCUGUUGUUAAAGAAGAACAUAUCUGAGAGUAACUGUUCAGGUAUUGACGGUAUUUAACCAGAAAGCCACGGCUAACUACGUGCCAGCAGCCGCGGUAAUACGUAGGUGGCAAGCGUUGUCCGGAUUUAUUGGGCGUAAAGCGAGCGCAGGCGGUUUUUUAAGUCUGAUGUGAAAGCCUUCGGCUCAACCGAAGAAGUGCAUCGGAAACUGGGAAACUUGAGUGCAGAAGAGGACAGUGGAACUCCAUGUGUAGCGGUGAAAUGCGUAGAUAUAUGGAAGAACACCAGUGGCGAAAGGCGGCUGUCUGGUCUGUAACUGACGCUGAGGCUCGAAAGUAUGGGUAGCAAACAGGAUUAGAUACCCUGGGUAGUCCAUACCGUAAACGAUGAAUGCUAAGUGUUGGAGGGUUUCCGCCUUCAGUGCUGCAGC
rnacentral:rRNA from 2 species